AGCAUACCAUGUGUUACACAGCAGAUACUGAAGCUGUAAACAGUAAAUUCAUACUUACGAUGUUAGAAAAAUAAGAUUCUGAUUAUGAAACAAAAGGUUGUUUUCAGUUGAAGAAGUAAAUAAUAGUAAGAAUAAGGAAUUUUGCAAAAGCCAAGGCUUCAAGACUUAAAAAGGAUUCAAAAGACACCAAAGGUUCACUUUUGGCUAAAAGCUAAAUGUGAACCUUUCAAAAUGAACUCAUUGCUGUCUUCCUCUCAAAAGGCCUUCAGAUGGUCAGAUAAAGUACCUGAUGCUGAAAAACAGGAAAUUGAAUCAUGUCUCCAAAAUGUGCCUUUUGUCAUGCACUGUUACAGCUAUAUUUCUUGGAUGUGAAUCCUGCCAGAUUGUGGCAUGGCACUCAACUCCUCAAAGAAGCCAUUGAGUUCCAGUCAGGCACUGCGAGAAUUGCAGAAGAAAUCUCAAACUUGGCCCCUGCCUCCAAGAAGCUGACAAUGG
rnacentral:lncRNA from 1 species